rnacentral:rRNA from 1 species
AUUGAACGCUAGCGGGAUGCUUUACCCAUGCAAGUCGAACGCGUGUCGGACGGGUGAGUAAUAUAUCGGAACGUGCCCAGUAGCGGGGGAUAACUACUCGAAAGAGUGGCUAAUCCCGCAUACUAUUGUAGCGGCCGAUAUCGGAUUAGCUAGUUGGUGGGGUAAAGGCUCACCAAGGCAACGAGCCGUAGCUGGUUUGAGCGGACGACCAGCCACACGUGGACGGAGACACGGCACAGACGCCUCAGGGAGGCAGCAGUGGGGAAGUUUGGACAAUGGGGGAAACCCCGAUCCAGCCAUCCCGCGUGUAUGAGAAGGCCUUCGGGUUGUAAAGUACUUUUGGCAGAGAAGCGGUAUCUGAAGAAUAAGCACCGGCUAACUACGUGCCAGCAGCCGCGGUAAUUC